rfam:Nicotiana attenuata strain TT chromosome 6, whole genome shotgun sequence.
UGGACAGAUUAUUGUAUUCGACUGUAUUCACGGCGUAAAAUAGGGGAUUACACUGUUUUUAAAACGGAACGUGAAUCAAUUAACAUAAUAGACUCCU